rnacentral:rRNA from 1 species
UACGUAGGGUCCGAGCGUUGUCCGGAAUUAUUGGGCGUAAAGGGCUCGUAGGCGGUCCGUCACGUCGGGAGUGAAAACUCAGGGCUCAACCCUGAGCGUGCUUCCGAUACGGGCAGACUAGAGUUCGGUAGGGGAGACUGGAAUUCCUGGUGUAGCGGUGAAAUGCGCAGAUAUCAGGAGGAACACCGGUGGCGAAGGCGGUUCUCUGGGCCUGUACUGACGCUGAGGAGCGAAAGCGUGGGGAGCGAACAGG